GAAUUCCUGUAGUUGAAGAGUAAGAUUUUGUACGGUACAUUUUUAAUGACAGCUUGGAUAUUGGAAUACUCAACUUUUGUUGUAGCCAAUGAGAGGGAUAUGCCACUAAUGGUAUCUAAAUCAUACAGUACGUACUUUAGGAUGGGGACAAAAAUCACAACGAUUUAUUUAUUUAUUUAUUUACUUAGUGUAUGUGAGUGCACUGUUGGUGUCUUCAGACACACCAGAAGAUGACUUCAGAUCCGAUUACAUAUGGGUUGUGAGCCACCAUGUGGUUGCUGGGAUUUGAACUCUGGACCUCUGGAAGAGCAGUCAGUGCUUGUAACUCUGAGCCAUCUUUCUAGCCCCCCCCCCCCGCUAUCUUUUAGAAAUGUAAUUUGCCAUACUUUGAGCAAUGUUCUUGAUGUCAUUAGGAUAUUUCACAGAUAACUUCACUUAAGAUAAUUAGAGCAAA
ensembl:sense_intronic Gm28586 predicted gene 28586